UUUGUUUCCACUCCCUCUAAAGCUAUAAAAUCAAGAGGAGAGCUAGGGAAGAGGGUAUGGAAGUGGGAGAGAAUAUUUAGGGAAGAGAUUUCAAAGAGAUUACAAGAAAAAUCUUCCAAAAGCACAAAAGGGCCAUUCAAAGUAAAAUAGAGAGAAGAAGAGCAUCCAAGUGAAUCCCAAAGCUUCCUCUCCAUCCGUGUGCUGCCUCGGUGAUCCUCUACUUCGUGCAAAAUCAGAAGAGGGUCAAGUAAAGAAGAAGCCGAGUUCCUCCAUCU
rnacentral:lncRNA from 1 species